AACGAACGCUGGCGGCAGGCUUAACACAUGCAAGUCGAGCGCCCACUUAGGUGGGAGCGGCAGACGGGUGAGUAACGCGUAGGAACCUACCUAUAUCUACGGAACAACAGUUGGAAACGACUGCUAAUACCGUAUACGCCCUCCGGGGGAAAGAUUUAUCGGAUAUAGAUGGGCCUGCGUUGGAUUAGCUAGUUGGUAAGGUAAAAGCUUACCAAGGCGACGAUCCAUAGCUGGUUUGAGAGGAUGAUCAGCCACACUGGGACUGAGACACGGCCCAGACUCCUACGGGAGGCAGCAGUGGGGAAUCUUGGACAAUGGGGGAAACCCUGAUCCAGCCAUGCCGCGUGAGUGAUGAAGGUCUUAGGAUCGUAAAGCUCUUUCGCUAGGGAAGAUAAUGACGGUACCUAGUAAAGAAGCCCCGGCUAACUUCG
rnacentral:rRNA from 1 species